rnacentral:tRNA from 2 species
GGGCCUUUAGCUCAGUUGGUUAGAGCAGGGGACUCAUAAUCCCUUGGUCGCUGGUUCGAGUCCAGCAAGGCCCA